UACGGAGGAUGCGAGCGUUAUCCGGAUUUAUUGGGUUAAAAGGGUGCGUAGGCGGACUGUCAAGUCAGCGGUAAAAUUGAGAGGCUCAACCUCUUCCCGCCGUUGAAACUGGUGGUCUUGAGUGGAUGAGAAGUACGCGGAAUGCGUGGUGUAGCGGUGAAAUGCAUAGAUAUCACGCAGAACUCCGAUUGCGAAGGCAGCGUACCGGCAUCCAACUGACGCUGAGGCACGAAAGCGUGGGGAUCAAACAGG
rnacentral:rRNA from 1 species